rnacentral:tRNA from 1 species
CGGGCUGUAGUAUAGUGGUAGUAUACACGCUUCGGGAGUGUGAGGUCCGGGUUCGAUUCCCGGCAGCCCGA